ACUUGUAUAUUGGCAUGUAUACUAUGUAGUCCAAAUAUGUUAUGCAAAUUUUGUCCGUAUACAUUAACACAAGCGCUCCCAAAGAAAAUAUUAUGCAGUAAAUAGCCAAAACCUGUGCUCGAUUUUCCCCAAUUUUCAGACAAUCGUCCACAAAAUAUUUGAGACAAACCCCCUCCCCCGAUUUCAAUGUUGUUAGGCACUACAAUAUAGUUUAAUUCCAACAUCAUAUGUUAAAUUUCAACUGCCAGUGACACAGUUGCGGUGCUAGUGUCACCUUAUGUUCGUUUUGGAUAAGUACAGUAGGUUUCAACAUUGAAAUAAGGGGGGAGGGGAUUGAUUUAAAAAGUCUCAAUAUAUUUUGUGGACGAUUGUCUUAAAAAUUGAUAAGACUUAGUUAAAAGCAUCUCGAAUUUUUUUUGAAAUCACUUUGUGUGCAUGUGUAGUAGUCUCUGUACAUGAUACUAUUCGGGUUAUUGUUCACAUGUAGAAUAGUACAGUACUGCCAAGUUGACCAGGGCGGGGGGAAAUAUAAAGGAAAUGGGGGAGAGAUUAAAAAAAUAUCACUAUAUGUUUGGUAGACGAUUAUAUUAGAAAUUAAGAAAACUUAGAUGGCAG
rnacentral:lncRNA from 1 species